CAAGGCUUGGGACUGAAUGUGUUUCCUCAUAACCACCUUCCUCAUUCUGUAUGAAGUGUUUAGAGACAGACAACUUCAUUAUGUGAGAUUAUUAGAGAGACACAGUAACCAGCAUGGUGGGAGACAAAAGAGAUUGAGGAGGGAGAGGAAAGGAAUAGAGGAAAUACAGAGGAAAGAGGCAGAGUGAUAACAAGCCACUUACGAAGUAGAAUAGAGAAGAUAAGGCAUACGGUCAAGGUGGAAGAGGGGAGAACCAGCCCUGCCAAGGACUAGGGUGUGUCUCCCAGUCAAAACUAGGGGCCCAAGAGCCCUGUCAUGUUGUCAGUAACCAUAAGAGCGGAUCUUCUGCAACAUGGGAAAAAAAGAAGCCAUAUCAAUAAAGGAAGUUGCUGUCCACAAGGAGGUGGAGAUGGAGAGGUCCUGCCCAACUCAGUCCUCCACUUGAGAAGGUCUGAGCAUGGGUGUCACUUUACUCUGAUUCUCUCUGGACUCCUGAGCACCCCAGUGCGCCUAGACAGGGCAUUGAUGCCUUCCUGAUAGCCCUGCUGCUCUUCCUUCCUGGACAUAAUCUGGCCAUGGCUCAGAUUCUCCUUCUUUUGCUGUCGGCAACAUGUCUGCACACUGGGAACUCAGGAGGAUACACAAGAAAAAAUUACUUUGGGGUGAACCAACCAGCAGUCCUCUCUGGAGUCCAGGGUGGCUCCAUUGAGAUCCCCUUCUCCUUCUACUUCCCCUGGAAGUUGGCCAAGGAUCCACAGAUGAGCAUAGCCUGGAGAUGGAAAGAAGUCCAUGGGGAAUUCAUCUACCAGUCCACUCUAUCUUUCAUUCAUGAGCACUUCAAGGACCGGCUCAUCCUAAACUGGACACAGGGUCAGACAUUCGGAGUCCUCAGAAUCCUGAACUUGAAGGAGAAUGACCAGGCCACAUACUUCAGCCAAGUUUGCCUGCAAACAACAGAAGGCAUGAAGUGUUGGCAGUCUAUUCCUGGGACAAAACUCAUUGUUACACAU
rnacentral:lncRNA from 14 species